UAAAUUACAUAGGUUAGUUUAUUGUGAAUUUACGCAUCGAAAGUGCCAUGUCACGAGAAAAUGGAGGACGGAUUACAAACUGUGAUGAUGGGCAGAGUUUAAAAUGACACUAGGAGGUAGGAGAGCAGCUGCGAUGGAGACUGAAGCCGGAUCUUGAAAAAUACAGCCCUAGACAUGGAGACAUGAGGGAGAAGGGGACGGUACUCACCUAACGAUGCCAGGCCCUGGAUGCCACACCCCGCACCACCAACACCCAGCGCUCGCAGGUCCAGAGCCAUGUGUUCACUCCCCCCACUCACCGGUAGGUUACGGCCUGCAGAGCACGGCAGUGGCAGCUGGCGAGCCACAGGGAGCGGUCAGUCAGCA